rnacentral:rRNA from 1 species
UACGUAGGGACCAAGCGUUGUUCGGAUUUACUGGGCGUAAAGGGCGCGUAGGCGGCGUGGUAAGUCACUUGUGAAAUCUCUGAGCUUAACUCAGAACGGCCAAGUGAUACUGCUGUGCUAGAGUGCAGAAGGGGCAAUCGGAAUUCUUGGUGUAGCGGUGAAAUGCGUAGAUAUCAAGAGGAACACCUGCGGCGAAGGCGGGUUGCUGGGCUGACACUGACGCUGAGGCGCGAAAGCUAGGGGAGCGAACGGG